rnacentral:tRNA from 1 species
GCGGAGGUAGUGGUCAAAGGCGCCAGUUCGUCUUGAGUUUUGACGCUCGGAUGACAGGUGAUACUCAAGAUCUGGUCUCUUAGUGAGUUCGUCGGUUCAAAUCCGGCCCUCCGCACCA